UACGAAGGGGGCUAGCGUUGUUCGGAAUUACUGGGCGUAAAGCGCGCGCAGGCGGUCUUCCAAGUCAGUGGUGAAAGCCCGGAGCUCAACUCCGGAAAUGCCAUUGAAACUGUGAGACUGGAGUACGAGAGAGGUGAGUGGAAUUCCGAGUGUAGAGGUGAAAUUCGUAGAUAUUCGGAGGAACACCAGUGGCGAAGGCGGCUCACUGGCUCGGUACUGACGCUGAGGCACGAAAGCGUGGGGAGCAAACAGG
rnacentral:rRNA from 1 species